GAUACGUGUGUUUCCUCUCCUUCCUGGGAGAGGCAUUUCUUCAUCCCACUAAGCUGUUGGCUUAAAUAUUCAUCAAGCCCUUUCCCACCAUCAGUAAAUAAGCUCCACAAACUCCUGCCACUGCUAAUGGAUCUCUCUGCCCCACUCUCUCCUCAUCCCUCCCGCUCUUCCGUUUACCUUGUCUUCCCAGAGAAUAACUGUGAUGGUAAAGGCUGUGAGUGACUCAGUUUCCAGUGCAUGCUUUCCGCCUCCCCUUUUGAAGAUGAACUUGAAGACACUAAGUCAGCUACAGGACCUUUCUGGCCCCUGAAAUAUCACCAUCAGAAAAGUCCAGGAUGGGACUCCGCCAGCGCACAGACAGAAGCAGCUGAAUCAGUGGGUGGUGGCGCCCAGGGAAAGGGUGGAUUCUUUACUACUGGCACCCCCUGGGAAGCCAGGAAUUCAUUGGGGGUUUUAAAUACCUGCUAAGUCACUUCAGUCGUGUCCGACUCUGUGUGACCCCAUAGAUGGCAGCCCACCAGGCUCCCCCUGUCCCCGGGAUUCUCCAGGUAAGAACACUGGAGUGGGUUGCCAUUUCCUUCUCCAUUUAAAUACCUAAUAUUCUAAUAUAAAUGGCUUUAGAAUGGGAUUGACCCCGG
ensembl:lncRNA